UUUCAUUUCAUAUAUGGACGGCAAGGGCGUCUUCAGCAGCGUCUAAACAGGAUUCGACUGCCCACUCGAUGCCAAGGGAGAUGCAUCGCUGUCGCCGUCAAGGGACUCAACCAGCGCGGCCUCCAGAGAUUCACUUAAUUUGGUAUAAAAACAAUAUAGCCACCGCCAUGUCGAUGAACUCUGAAGCUGAAUUGUUUUUUGUGGUUUCAUAUUUUAUUUGGAAGAAUGUCCGGGACCAACUAUCAUUUAAAACACGAAGAAUAUGGUAUAUAAUCGCUGAGAUGCUUUGUUCUUUUUC